rnacentral:rRNA from 1 species
GACGAACGCUGGCGGCGUGCUUAACACAUGCAAGUCGAACGGAAAGGCCCUGCUUUUGUGGGGUGCUCGAGUGGCGAACGGGUGAGUAACACGUGAGUAACCUGCCCUUGACUUUGGGAUAACUUCAGGAAACUGGGGCUAAUACCGGAUAGGAGCUCCUGCUGCAUGGUGGGGGUUGGAAAGUUUCGGCGGUUGGGGAUGGACUCGCGGCUUAUCAGCUUGUUGGUGGGGUAGUGGCUUACCAAGGCUUUGACGGGUAGCCGGCCUGAGAGGGUGACCGGCCACAUUGGGACUGAGAUACGGCCCAGGCUCCUACGGGAGGCAGCAGUGGGGAAUAUCGCACAAUGGGCGGAAGCCUGAUGCAGCAACGCCGCGUGCGGGAUGACGGCCUUCGGGUUGUAAACCGCUUUCGCCUGUGACGAAGCGUGAGUGACGGUAAUGGGUAAAGAAGCACCGGCUAACUACGUG